GCACUGUUGAGAAGUCCCAUAAUAGGACGAAACGGCCGUCCAGUGC
rnacentral:hammerhead_ribozyme from 1 species